UACGUAGGGGGCAAGCGUUGUCCGGAUUUAUUGGGCGUAAAGAGCGUGUAGGCGGCCAGGUAGGUCUGCUGUGAAAACUCGAGGCUCAACCUCGAGACGUCGGCGGAAACCAUCUGGCUAGAGUCCGGAAGAGGAGAGUGGAAUUCCUGGUGUAGCGGUGAAAUGCGCAGAUAUCAGGAAGAACACCCGUGGCGAAGGCGGCUUUCUGGGACGGUACUGACACUGAGACGCGAAAGCGUGGGGAGCGAACAGG
rnacentral:rRNA from 1 species